rnacentral:sRNA from 1 species
GCCGGGUGUGGUGGUGGGCGCCUGUAAUCCCAGCUACUUGGGAGGCUGAGGCAGGAGAAUUGCUUGAGCUCAGGAGGUGGAGGUUGCAGUGAGCUGAGACCGUGCUACUGCACUCCAGCCUGGGUGACAGAGCAAGACUCUGUCUUAA